UACGAAGGGUGCAAGCGUUACUCGGAAUUACUGGGCGUAAAGCGUGCGUAGGUGGUUUGUUAAGUCUGUUGUGAAAGCCCCGGGCUCAACCUGGGAAUGGCAAUGGAUACUGGCAGGCUAGAGUGCGGUAGAGGGUAGUGGAAUUCCCGGUGUAGCGGUGAAAUGCGUAGAGAUCGGGAGGAACACCAGUGGCGAAGGCGGCUCUCUGGACAGUGACUGACGCUGAGACGCGAAAGCGUGGGUAGCAAACAGG
rnacentral:rRNA from 1 species